rnacentral:rRNA from 1 species
UACGUAGGGGGCUAGCGUUGUCCGGAUUUAUUGGGCGUAAAGAGCGUGUAGGCGGCCAGAUAGGUCUGCUGUGAAAACUCGAGGCUCAACCUCGAGAUGUCGACGGAAACCGUAUGGCUAGAGUCCGGAAGAGGAGAGUGGAAUUCCUGGUGUAGCGGUGAAAUGCGCAGAUAUCAGGAAGAACACCAAUGGCGAAGGCAGCUCUCUGGGACGGUACUGACGCUGAGACGCGAAAGCGUGGGGAGCGAACAGG